GUGAGUCAUCGAAUCUUUGAACGCAAAUUGCACUUUCUGGUAUUCCGGAAAGUAUGCCUGUUUGAGGGUCAGUUAAAUAAAAAUCGGUGUUGUUGCUGCCUUUCGUGGUGACGCGUCGGAAUUGAGUCGUCUUAUUUUCGGUUAAGUGACUUAAAAUUUUGUAUGAUUUUCGAACGUAUUUAAAUUGCUUUACUUACGUUUGAUAUCGAAUAUUUUUAUUAGGUUCGAUCAUCCUCAUGAUCUGCGCCUAUAGUUUUCAUUAAAUGACCUCAAAUCAGGUAAGAAUACCCGCUGAACUUA
rnacentral:misc_RNA from 1 species